GAGGGUAUAGCUCAGUGGUAGACUGUAUGCUUAGCAUGCAUGAGGACCUGGGUUCAAUCCCUAGUACCUCCA
rnacentral:tRNA from 1 species